AGAUGAGACAUUUGUGAUGUGAAGUAAGAAGAUGACUUCUCUUUUCAUAGAAAUUCUACUGUUUGGUUUUUUUACAUUAUCUUGAAAAUUAUACUGGUUAACUACCAUAAAAGACGUCAGAAUAUGAACAAGGCGAGGCGAGAUACAAAGUUGCAACCUUGCCCUAUACAGAAAAUUACAGGAAACGACUACUGAGUUGACGAAUGUUUGAAUAAACUGAAACUAGGCGAGCAAAACAUUUAGCGGGGUUGCUGGAUGCGCCUGUUGGUAGUUUUUGGGCCAACGGACUUGGCUGGCUUCUCCCAAUACUUUGUUGAUUCAACUGAAGACUUGGGCCCUCUUUCCUUGAAAGAAUUUGACAAGCUCAGACUCCAUCAGUGCCGCAGGAUCAACUUCAAAACCUGCUUUGCAACCAAAUACAGUAAUUCAAUCAGGUUCGGGAUUUUGUUUUUGAUAAAUUAAAGGAUUUCCAUCAACUAGCAAACACCACAAGCAAGGCACUUUCCAUAUUCGAAAGCACAAGUGCAAAACAGAAUCAACAGUCACAUCUUAAACUCACUGAGCAACAUACCAUUUCCAGACAUUCCCUUCAAAGCUGAUAGAGAUGUUUUGUUUCCUGUUCCAGCUUCAGAUGAUUGGAUGAAUUGCUGAAACUGAGCUUCCAUGUUUAAAAAUUCCUCCUCAGUAGCAAGAUCAAUAGUGUCCGGCAACAGGUCAGCAAUGUC
rnacentral:lncRNA from 1 species